AGCUGACUUGCUUACAUCUCCCACCUGGUGAUCAGGUGAAUUAAUGAAGAAGGAGGGGAAGAACACGCAUACUGCUGAAAUCACAACAAAUACAUGCACAGGUUCAUCCCUCCCAGGUCAAGAACUGACCGGAGAACAGGGAAGCACCAGAGUUUUGGCAAGGCAUUGGUGGGACCUCAAAUCAAGAGAAGAUGACAUAACCCAAGAACCUCGACUUCUCCAGCUUUCAUGAAGGGAGGUUGCAUCCAGUUACAACAAUAAGAAGCACCGUGAUGCAUGUGGACCAAAUAUGGACAGGAGGACAUGAUAUAGAUGCAUCAAGAGUGAGACAUACAGCACACACAGUAGAACUCUGACCUUAUGUGUUGUAUUUAUCUGGAUGAAGAGGCUUUAAGUUAAAUGCAGCUGUGUGUUGAAUUUCUAAUUCAGUUCAGGGAAAUAAACAUCAAUAUUGAUGGAAAA